AGAUUGUGGUAUUGCUCAGCAUGUGGGGUGAAACCCUAAUUUGCUUGAUAUCCUUUGAGACAUUGAUUCAUGGAUUUUACAACAUGGUAUUCAUUUGGGUAUCCAAACCCUAAUUCUUGACCUUGCUCUUAUGGGAUCUUGUGUUUAACCUUGUGGGUACUUGACUUGACUUCUAAACCUUAAUGGUGGGUCGACGACUUGAGAUAUAUUUGAG
rnacentral:lncRNA from 1 species